GACGAACGCUGGCGGCGCGCUUAAUACAUGCAAGUCGAACGAGAAGCCAGAGCUUGCUCUGGUGGAAAGUGGCGAACGGGUGAGUAACACGUGAGAAACCUGCCCAAAGAUUGGGAUAAGCCUUGGAAACGAGGUCUAAUACCAAAUACCUUCCUUUUAACACAUGUUAAAAAGAAGAAAUGCUCCGGCGCUUUGGGAUGGUCUCGCGAUCUAUCAGCUUGUUGGUGAGGUAACGGCUCACCAAGGCAUCGACGGAUAGCUGGUCUGAGAGGAUGUCCAGCCACAUUGGAACUGAGACACGGUCCAAACUCCUACGGGAGGCAGCAGUAGGGAAUCUUGCACAAUGAGGGAAACCUUGAUGCAGCGACGCCGCGUGCGGGACGAAGGCCCUAGGGUUGUAAACCGCUUUCAGUAGGGACGAAAGUGACGGUACCUACAGAAGAAGCCCCGGCCAACUAUAGUGCCAGCAGCCGCGGU
rnacentral:rRNA from 1 species